rnacentral:ncRNA from 1 species
AAGGCGGAACCUGAAAAGCCUAUAACAGAGUAGGAC